rnacentral:rRNA from 1 species
CCUACGGGAGGCAGCAGUGGGGAAUAUUGGACAAUGGGCGAAAGCCUGAUCCAGCAAUUCCGCGUGUGUGAAGAAGGCCUUCGGGUUGUAAAGCACUUUAGUUGGGGAAGAAACAGCUUGGCCACACCAAGCCUUGACGGUACCCAAAGAAUAAGCACCGGCUAACUCUGUGCCAGCAGCCGCGGUAAUACAGAGGGUGCAAGCGUUAAUCGGAUUUACUGGGCGUAAAGGGUGCGUAGGUGGUUUUGUAAGUCGGAUGUGAAAGCCUGGGGCUCAACCUCAGAAUUGCACUCGAUACUGCAAGACUAGAGUUCGGUAGAGGGCGGCGGAAUUCCCGGUGUAGCGGUGAAAUGCGUAGAUAUCGGGAGGAACAUCAAUGGCGAAGGCAGCCGCCUGGGCCUGAACUGACACUGAGGCACGAAAGCGUGGGUAGCAAACAGGAUUAGAUACCCUGGUAGUCCACGCUGUAAACGAUGAGAACUUGACGUUGGUUCGUUUUACGAAUCGGUGUCGCAGCUAACGCGAUAAGUUCUCCGCCUGGGGGAGGUACGGCCGCGAGGUAGUAACGUACGUAAGUUAAGUUAGUAGUUACGUUGUAGAGAGCGACGACGGACGACGACGGAGGAGGAG